CGCACAUGUGGCGCGGAGCGCUGAGGGGGAAGCGCGUGCGCACUGAGCGCGCUCCCGCGGCGGGAGGGAAAGCGGAGGCGCGAGGCCGCGUUUUGAGGGAAAAACGGGCGAUUUUGCUCCCGGUUGAGGCGGUCGGUGAAGCCCUGCAGCAAAGUGUUCCCCCCCGUGACAAUGACGCUGCCAUAGAGACCCUGCAGGAGGCAAAACAACAACGGGGGCAGGAGGUGCACGCUCCCUGCACUGCAUGGAGAUGAAAUCCCCGGCCAACGGCGACUUGACGAUCCCUAUGGGGCGAACAGCCCGCCCCACGGCUGCCCCACAUCUAUGGGGCUGGAUACG